rnacentral:rRNA from 1 species
AACCUGCCCCUAAGUCUGGGAUACCAUUUGGAAACAGGUGCUAAUACCGGAUAAUAAAGCGGAUCGCAUGAUCAGCUUUUGAAAGGCGGCGUAAGCUGUCGCUAAGGGAUGGCCCCGCGGUGCAUUAGCUAGUUGGUAAGGUAACGGCUUACCAAGGCGACGAUGCAUAGCCGAGUUGAGAGACUGAUCGGCCACAUUGGGACUGAGACACGGCCCAAACUCCUACGGGAGGCAGCAGUAGGGAAUCUUCCACAAUGGACGCAAGUCUGAUGGAGCAACGCCGCGUGAGUGAAGAAGGUUUUCGGAUCGUAAAGCUCUGUUGUUGGUGAAGAAGGAUAGAGGUAGUAACUGGCCUUUAUUUGACGGUAAUCAACCAGAAAGUCACGGCUAACUACGUGCCAGCAGCCGCGGUAAUACGUAGGUGGCAAGCGUUGUCCGGAUUUAUUGGGCGUAAAGCGAGCGCAGGCGGAAAAAUAAGUCUAAUGUGAAAGCCCUCGGCUUAACCGAGGAACUGCAUCGGAAACUGUUUUUCUUGAGUGCAGAAGAGGAGAGUGGAACUCCAUGUGUAGCGGUGGAAUGCGUAGAUAUAUGGAAGAACACCAGUGGCGAAGGCGGCUCUCUGGUCUGCAACUGACGCUGAGGCUCGAAAGCAUGGGUAGCGAACAGGAUUAGAUACCCU